UAUAUGGGGCAAGUUAUGGGAUCGAGACGCUUGUGCACGGUCGCAAUGCGUGAUGCUUUCGAGAUGCGGGCCCCUGAUUAUUACAGUUCUGUGCCAACAGAUAAUUUGGACAUUGCAUGCACUUUUUGAUGUUGCCUUAUUUAUAUGGACUUCAUUUUCCUUUUAAAUAAUAUCAAGGAUAUAAAUAGGUGUCGAGGCAUGGGGAAAAAAAGUGUGACGUUCAGUUCUCUGCGUCAAGAUGGCAAGGCCGGGUAUAAAAAGUGUUUUGUAGGGUAGUGUAGUAGUGUUGUAUAUAUCAUUGGUUUAAGUCAGAUGCGGUGGGAGGCCAGACUUUUUUUAUUCUCGUUUUAUGGGCCAGACAAGUCUUGGUAAAUAAAGAAAAUCAAAAUGCAACAUUAUUUAUUUGCCAUCCAUCCAAUUUUCUGCCAGAGAAAAGUUUUUUUUUUAAAGACUUAUGGCAAAUCUCUUACCAAGGAACUGUUAGAACUAUUCAAGGAAAAUAGCUUGGAAAUGUUCUUCUACCUCAUAAUGAGUGCAAGUAAUGUAACUAAAUUUCAAUCCACACAUUACAGUGAAAAAACUCUGCCCAAAAAACAUUCAAUAAAAAAGUAUGGCCUUGAGGGUUUACUCCUGGCUUGUUUAAUUACUUCUGCAAUGAUGUAAAAUUAUCUGUACUCCAUUCCUUGUUUUAGAAAGGCCAGUCUACAUUUUAAUGGCUACACAUGGUCUUAAAUCACAGAAUUUGAAGGUCUGGGACAUUUGAAGGAAAUUAUUUCUAGCUGUAAUAAGACAAGCAAAGUAUUCAUUGAAAUAAAAUUUUUAGUAUCUAAGGUUCACUCUUUCAGUAUCAUCAGUGACGAUUCAUGUUAAAAUUUUUAUUAUUAAUCUUCAUUUUUUCUUGUAUACAACAUUUUGAACUAUGACAAUAAAGUAAUCCAUUAAAGGAUA